GGCGUGGCUCAGUUUGGUAGAGCGCUGCGUUCGGGACGCAGAGGCCGCAGGUUCAAAUCCUGUCGCCU
rnacentral:tRNA from 5 species